rnacentral:rRNA from 1 species
AUUGAACGCUGGCGGCAGGCUUAACACAUGCAAGUCGAGCGGGGUGAUGGUGCUUGCACUAUCACUUAGCGGCGGACGGGUGAGUAAUGCUUAGGAAUCUGCCUAUUAGUGGGGGACAACAUCUCGAAAGGGAUGCUAAUACCGCAUACGUCCUACGGGAGAAAGCAGGGGAUCACUUGUGACCUUGCGCUAAUAGAUGAGCCUAAGUCGGAUUAGCUAGUUGGUGGGGUAAAGGCCUACCAAGGCGACGAUCUGUAGCGGGUCUGAGAGGAUGAUCCGCCUCACUGGGACUGAAACACGGCCCAGACUCCUACGGGAGGCAGCAGUGGGGAAUAUUGGACAAUGGGGGGAACCCUGAUCCAGCCAUGCCGCGUGUGUGAAGAAGGCCUUAUGGUUGUAAAGCACUUUAAGCGAGGAGGAGGCUCUUUUGGUUAAUACCCAAGAUGAGUGGACGUUACUCGCAGAAUAAGCACCGGCUGACUCUGUGCCAGCCGCCGCGGUAA